rnacentral:rRNA from 1 species
UUGCCAGACUCCUACGGGAGGCAGCAGUGGGGAAUAUUGCACAAUGGGGGAAACCCUGAUGCAGCGACGCCGCGUGAGUGAAGAAGUAAUUCGUUAUGUAAAGCUCUAUCAGCAGGGAAGAAAAUGACGGUACCUGAGUAAGAAGCCCCGGCUAACUACGUGCCAGCAGCCGCGGUAAUACGUAGGGGGCAAGCGUUAUCCGGAUUUACUGGGUGUAAAGGGAGCGUAGACGGCAGUGCAAGUCUGGAGUGAAAGCCCGGGGCCCAACCCCGGGACUGCCCUUGGAACUGCAUGGCUGGAGUGCGGGAGGGGCAGGCGGAAUUCCUGGUGUAGCGGUGAAAUGCGUAGAUAUCAGGAGGAACACCGGCGGCGAAGGCGGCCUGCUGGACCGCGACUGACGUUGAGGCUCGAAAGCGUGGGGAGCGAACAGGAUUAGAUACCCCAGUAAGA